CGCAUCUGUGCAUGCAGCAUAUCAAUAAGCGGAGGAAAAGAAACUAACAAGGAUUCCCCUAGUAACGGCGAGUGUAAGCGGGAAGAGCUCAAAUUUGAAAUCUUAAAGGGUUUCCCUUUACGAAUUGUAGUUUAAAGAAGUGUUUUCUGUUGAGGUUUUGGUAAAAGUUCUUUGGAAUAGGACAUCAUAGAGGGUGAGAAUCCCGUAUUUGACCUUUACUUUCAACUUUGUGAUACACUUUCAAAGAGUCGGAUUGUUUGGGAAUGCAGUCCAAAAUGGGUGGUAAAUUUCAUCUAAAGCUAAAUAUUGGCGAGAGACCGAUAGCGAACAAGUACCGUGAGGGAAAGAUGAAAAGAACUUUGAAAAGAGAGUUAAACAGUACGUGAAAUUGUCAAAAGGGAAGCGUUUGACACCAGUGUUGUUUUUCUGAAAAUCAAUUAAAGAACUGCUUAUGCUAAGCUUGUUUAGACUUUAUCAGCUAAUCUGUUUAGUUUUGAGCUUUUCUUUAACUGCACUUUUCAGUUAACAAGUCAACAUCAAUUUCUUUUGCUGUAAAAAAGCUUGAGGAAGGUGGCUUGAGAUUCGUCUUAAGUGUUUAUAGCCUCUUGCCUAUGCAGUCGGAGAGAUUGAGGUCUGCAGCGUAGAUCCUUCGGGGCUAAAUGCAUUUGUGCUAAGUUAUAGCAUUUUAUAGACAACUUGUUGACUAUGAUUUGUCUUGUAGCUUACUCGCUUAUGUUAUUUUACCUACGCUUAGGAUGUUGACAGCAGUAUAGACUGU
rnacentral:rRNA from 1 species